GACGAACGCUGGCGGCGUGCUUAACACACGCAAGUCGAACGGAAAGGCCCUGCUUUUGUGGGGUGCUCGAGUGGCGAACGGGUGAGUAACACGUGAGUAACCUGCCCUUGACUUUGGGAUAACUUCAGGAAACUGGGGCUAAUACCGGAUAGGAGCUCCUGCUGCAUGGUGGGGGUUGGAAAGUUUCGGCGGUUGGGGAUGGACUCGCGGCUUAUCAGCUUGUUGGUGGGGUAGUGGCUUACCAAGGCUUUGACGGGUAGCCGGCCUGAGAGGGUGACCGGCCACAUUGGGACUGAGAUACGGCCCAGACUCCUACGGGAGGCAGCAGUGGGGAAUAUUGCACAAUGGGCGGAAGCCUGAUGCAGCAACGCCGCGUGCGGGAUGACGGCCUUCGGGUUGUAAACCGCUUUCGCCUGUGACGAAGCGUGAGUGACGGUAAUGGGUAAAGAAGCACCGGCUAACUACGUG
rnacentral:rRNA from 1 species